CUACGGGCCGCAGCAGUGGAGAAUAUUGCACAAUGGGCGCAAGCCUGAUGCAGCCAUGCCGCGUGUAUGAAGAAGGCCUUCGGGUUGUAAAGUACUUUCAGCGGGGAGGAAGGGAGUAAAGUUAAUACCUUUGCUCAUUGACGUUACCCGCAGAAGAAGCACCGGCUAACUCCGUGCCAGCAGCCGCGGUAAUACGGAGGGUGCAAGCGUUAAUCGGAAUUACUGGGCGUAAAGCGCACGCAGGCGGUUUGUUAAGUCAGAUGUGAAAUCCCCGGGCUCAACCUGGGAACUGCAUCUGAUACUGGCAAGCUUGAGUCUCGUAGAGGGGGGUAGAAUUCCAGGUGUAGCGGUGAAAUGCGUAGAGAUCUGGAGGAAUACCGGUGGCGAAGGCGGCCCCCUGGACGAAGACUGACGCUCAGGUGCGAAAGCGUGGGGAGCAAACAGGAUUAGAUACCCGUGUAGUC
rnacentral:rRNA from 1 species